GCUCGGAUGGAGCGUGUCAGGUGCUGGGGCAUGGGCCAGGUCAUGGGCACCAACCUUGUGCCCCAGGAGGAUUUAAACCCCUGCCUGUGCCCAGGGAGGCAGCCCCCACGCCACCCAUCCACACCAUGAGGCUGCUGUCCCUGCUCCUGCUCCUGGGGCUCUGCUGCCUCUGGGCCCGGCUGGUGUCCCCAGAAUUCACCUAGCCCCACCUGGACCUGGACCAAGAACCCAGUCUGUUCAGCCAACCCACACCAGACAGCCAGACAACAGCGGGACAGCUGGACAGCCAGCCAUGGAGGGCUCCAUCAGCUGCUGGAUAAAUCACCCAGCCUCCCAAUCCACCUCAGCACCCUCAGCUCUGUGCUUACCAUAGGGGUCUCUGUGCCCCCCAUCCCCCAGUAAACCCAGUCUGAUGAACAA